CCGCCGUGAUGACUUCUUAGGACACCUUUGGAUUUAAGGAUGAAAACACUCUCAGGUCUGAGCGGC